AGUGAACGCUGGCGGUAGGCGUAACACAUGCAAGUCGAACGGCAGCACAGGAGAGCUUGCUCUCUGGGUGGCGAGUGGCGGACGGGUGAGGAAUACAUCGGAAUCUACUUUUUCGUGGGGGAUAACGUAGGGAAACUUACGCUAAUACCGCAUACGACCUACGGGUGAAAGCAGGGGAUCUUCGGACCUUGCGCGAUUAAAUGAGCCGAAGUCGGAUUAGCUAGUUGGCGGGGUAAAGGCCCACCAAGGCGACGAUCCGUAGCUGGUCUGAGAGGAUGAUCAGCCACACUGGAACUGAGACACGGUCCAGACUCCUACGGGAGGCAGCAGUGGGGAAUAUUGGACAAUGGGCGCAAGCCUGAUCCAGCCAUACCGCGUGGGUGAAGAAGGCCUUCGGGUUGUAAAGCCCUUUUGUUGGGAAAGAAAUCCAGCUGGCUAAUACCCGGUUGGGAUGACGGUACCCAAAGAAUAAGCACCGGCUAACUUCGUGCCAGCCGCCGCCGUAAUAC
rnacentral:rRNA from 1 species